UACGGGGGGAGCAAGCGUUGUUCGGAUUUACUGGGCGUAAAGGGCGCGUAGGCGGUCAGCACAAGUCAGUUGUGAAAUCUCCGGGCUUAACUCGGAAAGGUCAACUGAUACUGUGCGACUAGAGUGCAGAAGGGGCAACUGGAAUUCUCGGUGUAGCGGUGAAAUGCGUAGAUAUCAGGAGGAACACCUGUGGUGUAGACGGCUCUCUGGACAGUAACUGACGCUGAGACACGAAAGCGUGGGUAGCAAACAGG
rnacentral:rRNA from 1 species